AUUGAACGCUGGCGGCAGGCCUACCCAUGCAAGUCGAGCGGAUGAAGGGAGCUUGCUCCUGGAUUCAGCGGCGGACGGGUGAGUAAUGCCUAGGAAUCUGCCUGGUAGUGGGGGAUAACGUCCGGAAACGGGCGCUAAUACCGCAUACGUCCUGAGGGAGAAAGUGGGGGAUCUUCGGACCUCACGCUAUCAGAUGAGCCUAGGUCGGAUUAGCUAGUUGGUGGGGUAAAGGCCUACCAAGGCGACGAUCCGUAACUGGUCUGAGAGGAUGAUCAGUCACACUGGAACUGAGACACGGUCCAGACUCCUACGGGAGGCAGCAGUGGGGAAUAUUGGACAAUGGGCGAAAGCCUGAUCCAGCCAUGCCGCGUGUGUGAAGAAGGUCUUCGGAUUGUAAAGCACUUUAAGUUGGGAGGAAGGGCAGUAAGUUAAUACCUUGCUGUUUUGACGUUACCAACAGAAUAAGCACCGGCUAACUUCGUG
rnacentral:rRNA from 1 species